UGGGGAAUCUUGCGCAAUGCGCGAAAGCGUGACGCAGCAACGCCGCGUGGGGGAAGAAGGCCUUCGGGUUGUAAACCCCUUUCAGGAGGGACGAAGGUCGGGCGGUGAAUAGCCGACCCGACUGACGGUACCUCCAGAAGAAGCCCCGGCUAACUACGUGCCAGCAGCCGCGGUAAUACGUAGGGGGCAAGCGUUGUCCGGAUUUAUUGGGCGUAAAGAGCGUGUAGGCGGCCAGACAGGUCCGUUGUGAAAACUCGAGGCUCAACCUCGAGAUGUCGAUGGAAACCGUCUGGCUAGAGUCCGGAAGAGGAGUGUGGAAUUCCUGGUGUAGCGGUGAAAUGCGCAGAUAUCAGGAAGAACACCUAUGGCGAAGGCAGCACUCUGGGACGGUACUGACGCUGAGACGCGAAAGCGUGGGGAGCGAACAGG
rnacentral:rRNA from 1 species